CGCGGCCUAUCAGCUUGUUGGUGCGGUGAGGGCGUACCAAGGCGAUGACGGGUAGCCGGCCUGAGAGGGUGAUCGGCCACACUGGGACUGAGACACGGCCCAGACUCCUACGGGAGGCAGCAGUGGGGAAUUUUGCGCAAUGGGCGGAAGCCUGACGCAGCGACGCCGUGUGGGGGAGGACGGCCUUCGGGUUGUAAACCUCUUUCGGCCCUGACGAAUGUGACGGUAGGGGCUAAAGAAGCGCCGGCUAACUACGUGCCAGCAGCCGCGGUAAUACGUAGGGCGCGAGCGUUGUCCGGAUUUACUGGGCGUAAAGGGCUCGUAGGCGGUUUGUCGCGUCGGUCGUGGAAAUGUCUGGCUUAACUGGGCACGUGCGGCUGAUACGGGCAGACUCGAGGGCGGUAGGGGCAAGCGGAAUUCCUGGUGUAGCGGUGAAAUGCGCAGAUAUCAGGAGGAACACCGAUGGCGAAGGCAGCUUGCUGGGCCGUUCCUGACGCUGAGGAGCGAAAGCGUGGGUAGCGAACAGGAUUAGAUACCCUGGUAGUCCAUGCUGUAAACGUUGGGCGCUAGGUGUGGGGACCAUUCUUGGUGUCCGUGCCGUAGCUAACGCAUUAAGCGCCCCGCCUGGGGAGUACGG
rnacentral:rRNA from 2 species